GGCCGCUUAGCAUCAGCUAUCCCCAAUUGAAAAGGAAAGCGCUGGUUCGAAUCCAGCAGUGGCCA
rnacentral:tRNA from 1 species